UAAAUCUGUUGGAGUUGGUCCGAGACCACAAUUGUCGUCCCUUGAUUUUCGUUGUUCACGAAUAUAGUCCCUAGUGUUAACAGUGGGUUACUUGCCAAUAAUUUUUAUACCCCUUCCAAAUUUAUUUCUCCAUGUUUAAUGCCUCAAAUUGUAAGUAGGGGGGUGAAAUUACACUGUAAAAAAAUUUGGGUCCAGAAUAUUACAGGAAAGUAGUGAUUUGGUCCAGCUGAAAAAGGUUAAAAAUUAGCACUUCGGAAGCUGUCAAAAGAUUUCAAGACACCCUAAACACAAAAUUGUCCAUAUUUUGAGUUAGAGGCGAUGAAGUUUUCUAUAAUUUUGAUAUAAUUUGUCCCAAAAGUAGUACAACACACUGUAAAAAUU
rnacentral:lncRNA from 1 species